ensembl:lncRNA
CAUAUACCCGUGUGCCCCCAUUUGUGCCCCCCAUGGAUGUGUGCACCUAUAUAUGUGCCCCCCCUCUGCAUACGUAUACCCACAUAUGUGCCCCCUAUGGACACGUGUACACAUAUAGGAGCCCCCCAUGGACAUGUGUACCCACAUAUAUACCCCCUAUGGACACGUAUACCCAUAUAGAAGCCCCCCAUGGACACGUGUGCCCAUAUAUGAGCCCCCCAUGGACAUGUGUACCCACAUAUAUACCCCCUAUGGACACGUAUACCCAUAUAGAAGCCCCCCAUGGACACGUGUGCCCAUAUAUGAGCCCCCCAUGGACACGUGUACCCACAUAUGUGCCCCCUAUGGACACAUAUACCCAUAUAGGAGCCCCCCAUGGACACGUGUACCCACAUAUGUGCCCCCCUCCCACACG